rnacentral:rRNA from 1 species
GAUUAGAUACCCUGGUAGUCCACGCCGUAAACGAUGUCGACUUGGAGGUUGUGCCCUUGAGGCGUGGCUUCCGGAGCUAACGCGUUAAGUCGACCGCCUGGGGAGUACGGCCGCAAGGUUAAAACUCAAAUGAAUUGACGGGGGCCCGCACAAGCGGUGGAGCAUGUGGUUUAAUUCGAUGCAACGCGAAGAACCUUACCUGGUCUUGACAUCCACGGAAGUUUUCAGAGAUGAGAAUGUGCCUUCGGGAACCGUGAGACAGGUGCUGCAUGGCUGUCGUCAGCUCGUGUUGUGAAAUGUUGGGUUAAGUCCCGCAACGAGCGCAACCCUUAUCCUUUGUUGCCAGCGGUCCGGCCGGGAACUCAAAGGAGACUGCCAGUGAUAAACUGGAGGAAGGUGGGGAUGACGUCAAGUCAUCAUGGCCCUUACGACCAGGGCUACACACGUGCUACAAU